rnacentral:rRNA from 1 species
AGAGUUUGAUCAUGGCUCAGGAUGAACGCUAGCGGCAGGCCUAAUACAUGCAAGUCGAACGGGGUAGCAAUACCUAGUGGCGCACGGGUGCGUGACGCGUAACCAACCUACCUGGAUCUGGGGGAUAGCCCGCCGAAAGGCGGAUUAAUACCGCAUAAGACCAUCGUGUGGCAUCACGCAGUGGUUAAAGAUUUAUUGGAUUCAGAUGGGGUUGCGUAGCAUUAGCUAGAUGGCGGGGUAACGGCCCACCAUGGCGACGAUGCUUAGGGGACCUGAGAGGGUGAUCCCCCACACUGGCACUGAGAUACGGGCCAGACUCCUACGGGAGGCAGCAGUAGGGAAUAUUGGGCAAUGGGCGAGAGCCUGACCCAGCCAUGCCGCGUGCCGGAUGAAGGCCUUCUGGGUUGUAAACGGCUUUUCUCAGGGAAGAAAAAGACCAUGCGUGGUACACUGACGGUACCUGAGGAAUAAGCACCGGCUAACUCCGUGCCAGCAGCCGCGGUAAUACGGAGGGUGCAAGCGUUGUCCGGAUUUAUUGGGUUUAAAGGGUGCGUAGGUGGCCUGAUAAGUCCGUGGUGAAAGCCUCUUGCUCAACAAGAGAACUGCCAUGGAUACUGCCAGGCUUGAGUGUAGACGAGGGUGGCGGAAUAGAUGCUGUAGCGGUGAAAUGCAUAGAUAGCAUCUAGAACUCCGAUUGCGUAGGCAGCUGCCUAGACUACAACUGACACUGAGGCACGAAAGCGUGGGGAGCGAACAGGAUUAGAUACCCCGGUAGUCC